UGGAAACUGUGAUUACUGUAUCAAUCUAUAUCGAUUAAAUUCAUUUUAUAAUGAUACACAGAGUAUUCUUUGUUGGGUUUUGGAUGGGGAUUUGAUGACUUUUUUUUUUUAAUCACAAUAAAUUUUAAUUUCUUCUUAAUUUUGACGUUCCAAUACCAAUACUAGUUUUCUUGCUUUAUGGUUGAGAAUAAUUUCGUGGUAGAACAAUUUAGUUAGGGUUUAUCUUUCCGUUUAUGAUGAGAGGUCUAACACCGAUGUUGAGUGAAUUUGAUUAAAAAAGAGGAGAUGAACGCCCAAACUUCAAAGAAUUUAUCAAAACGGCUCUCAAGAGAUUAUGAAGAAGGUGAGUCGAGUGAUCUCUUAAAAGAAGAAGAAGAAGAAAACGGAUGGUUCCAUGACUGUAUCAGAUGAUGAUCAAGAUGAGAACUCCGGCUCUUCUUGGACCAAGCCAUAUAUUCCUGAUGAAGUAUUGAUUCAUCUUUGCAUUGAUCAUCAACGAAUUGACGAUUUGAUUUACAGAAGCCCAUCAAGAUCCCCCCUACUCUGCAAGCCUUGAUCUUGCAGAGAUCUUCUGAUCCAAUAUCCCUUUUGUCUCAAAGGAGACCCUGCAAAAUGCGGGGAUCCCAACUACCAGCUCACUUGCUGCAGCAACAGAAUAUUGAUGGAGUUCCUGUCAGAUCAGUUCUCAGUAAACAAAAUCAAUUAUGCAGACAGUAUGAUGGAUGCUAUUGAGGUUGGCCUGCUAAGAAACAGGUUGCAGUGUUCCCAUCAAAUCAUUGCCUGCAACUUCUGUUUUUAUUUCCAAAUUCUAUCAGUUAAGACACUGGUAUUGGAUUUGCUUAAUGAUUUGUUCAAAAAAGCUAACUACAAAGGAGCAUUGGUUAAUUCCUUGUUUGAGUCGGAGAGAUUCAUAUGUUUAUAGUGUUUCUGGUUAUUUAGUAUCAGAUCUGGCAAUUUCUUGCAGCCUUCUGUGUAUGAUGCUUGCAACUGAUGUAAACUCAAAUCCUUUUGAUGCCAUUCAUGGCGGAUUUUCUCUGUCAUGGUCUACUCAUGCCCUCACCACAUCCAUGCUGAUAAUAAGGUGUCUUCGAGAUUCAUUGAAAUAAGAAAAGAAUGGAUUAAAAUUCCUCUUUUUUAAUUUGAUUAGCUGUUCUUCAUUGAAUAUUUCUGAUGGCUGCAGUACCGAACAUAUUUCAGCAUGUUUCAUGACGACUUUAGAAGAAGCAAUUUCCAAUCCAUGAUUCCAGCAGUUUUUAUGGCUGAGGUGCACUUUCCAGCCUGCUUUGAAGAUUAUACUUUGGAUCGCCUGUUUAGUUUGAAUUUUCCACCCGUCGAUCGCCGUUAUAGUCAUCAUGGAGAUUAUUCAGCUUGUGAUCUGUGAGAAAAAUUGAAAUUUGAUUGUUUGUAAACAAAAGAAGGAGCUGAUUUUGUUUCUGUUUCAGUUUACAGUGUUGCAUAUCAUAGCAAGAUUGGUUUUUGCUUCAUUAUCUUUGUUCUUCUUCCUUGCUCAUAAAUUCCGGACAAUAUGUUCAUCGGAAGACGCAGUGGAGAAGUUUCUGCUAGCUCUGCAAAAUCUCAAUCGUACAAGAUACUCUUAUACUGAUAUUAUGGCCAUUACCGGACACUUUAAGGAGCAGUUGGGACGGCUCCAUGUACAUAUGGGAGCUCCCUGGCAGCCAUUUUGUUGCAGUGAAUCCAAGUGACGAUUUCGCAAGUUGGAAGAAUUCACCACCUGAAUGUUCUUUGUCUCAGCGGAUUAUGCUCCGAAGACUCCAAAAGAGCUCUCAUCCCAACAAAUUGCUUCGACAUUAAGCCUCAAAACAUCCUUUUGGAUCGAAGCUUCGUCCACAAAGUCUCACAUUUCAGGCUCGCGGGACCGUACCCUAAGGAUUACAACAUAGUUUGUGUCAGCGCUGCCAGUGGAACAAUCGGAUACAUUGCUCCAGAGCUAGUCUCCCGCAACUUUGGAGUCAUAUCUCAUAAAUCUGAUUGUGUACCGCUUCAGAAUGAUGUUAAUGGAGAGGGCGGCCGUUCUACCUGAAAUCCAUAAUGUACAACCUACAUUGUAGCUUAUUAUUCUAUUCCUUAAUCCUUGGGCGGGCACAAUGACUCUGAUGUAUGCGUAAGAAGCAGAUGGAAGAAGAGGGAGGAUCAACUCUAGCUCUCUUUUACUCUCUUUUUUCUGCUAAAGAAUUCCCAAGCUUCUUCUCAGAGUUCAAAUUACAU